rnacentral:rRNA from 1 species
UUUUGGACAAUGGGCGAAAGCCUGAUCCAGCAAUGCCGCGUGCAGGAAGAAGGCCUUCGGGUUGUAAACUGCUUUUGUACGGAACGAAACGGUUCUUUCUAAUAAAGAGGGCUAAUGACGGUACCGUAAGAAUAAGCACCGGCUAACUACGUGCCAGCAGCCGCGGUAAUACGUAGGGUGCGAGCGUUAAUCGGAAUUACUGGGCGUAAAGCGUGCGCAGGCGGUUUUGUAAGUCAGAUGUGAAAUCCCCGAGCUCAACUUGGGAACUGCGUUUGAAACUACAAGACUAGAAUAUGUCAGAGGGGGGUAGAAUUCCACGUGUAGCAGUGAAAUGCGUAGAGAUGUGGAGGAAUACCAAUGGCGAAGGCAGCCCCCUGGGAUAAUAUUGACGCUCAUGCACGAAAG